AACGAACGCUGGCGGCAUGCCUAACACAUGCAAGUCGAACGAGACCUUCGGGUCUAGUGGCGCACGGGUGCGUAACGCGUGGGAAUCUGCCCUUGGGUUCGGAAUAACAGUUGGAAACGACUGCUAAUACCGGAUGAUGACGUAAGUCCAAAGAUUUAUCGCCCAAGGAUGAGCCCGCGUAGGAUUAGCUAGUUGGUGAGGUAAAGGCUCACCAAGGCGACGAUCCUUAGCUGGUCUGAGAGGAUGAUCAGCCACACUGGGACUGAGACACGGCCCAGACUCCUACGGGAGGCAGCAGUGGGGAAUAUUGGACAAUGGGCGAAAGACUGAUCCAGCAGUGCCGCGUGAGUGAUGAAGGCCUUAGGGUUGUAAAGCUCUUUUACCCGGGAUGAUAAUGACAGUACCGGGAGAAUAAGCUCCGGCUAACUCCGUG
rnacentral:rRNA from 1 species